rnacentral:rRNA from 1 species
UCCCUAUGGGGUGCAGCAGUCGCGAAAACUCCGCAAUGCACGAAAGUGUGACGGGGCUACCCCGAGUGCCGUCCGCUGAGGAUGGCUUUUCCUUGGUAUAACUAGCCGUGGGAAUAAGGAGAGGGCAAGACUGGUGUCAGCCGCCGCGGUAAUACCAGCUCUCCGAGUGGUAGGGAUGAUUAUUGGGCUUAAAGCGUCCGUAGCCGACUUAGCAAGUCUCCUGUUAAAUUCAGCGACAUAAUCGUUGAGCCGCGGGAGAUACUACUAGGUUAGGAGGCGGGAGAGGUCGACGGUACUUCUGGGGUAGGGGUGAAAUCCUAUAAUCCCGGGAGGACCACCAGUGGCGAAGGCUGUCGACUAGAACGCGCUCGACGGUGAGGGACGAAAGCUGGGGGAGCGAACCGGAUUAGAUACCCGGGUAGUCCCAGCUGUAAACGAUGCGGGCUAGGUGUUGGAGUGGCUACGUGCCACUUCAGUGCCGCAGGGAAGCCAUUAAGCCCGCCGCCUGGGGAGUACGGCCGCAAGGCUGAAACUUAAAGGAAUUGGCGGGGGAGCACCACAAGGCGUGAAGCUUGCGGUUCAAUUGGAUUCAACGCCGGAA